CAGGGUCCUUCUCCCACAUCAGCAGUUCUCUCCUCUGCAUCCCCCAUGAUGUUUGAAUAACUUGCAUCCUGCCAGUGCCACUACAGCAGUCUGGGCGACAGUCUCUUCCAUUCCCCCACAGAAAUAACUGUCUGCAAUACAAUCCCCGAGCUUCCUGGGCACCACCCAUUCCCUACCGAAUUUCUGCGGCAUCACCAGGCUUGUGAUCAUCUUCAUCCCUCCUGCCUACCACCUGCUCUGCCCUUUCAUUGUUUAUUCAGCAUCUUGGCUAGCAGCAGCAGCAUUCUGUCAAUGUGUUAGCUAAACAAAAGCCCUUCUCAAGACUUUGGUGCUGUGUCAAUAAAUCGGGUGUUGCAUUCAGAGGUGCCACAGAUUGAAGUUUAGAAGAGAAGAGGCUCCCUCCAAAGACGAGAGUGUGUGAGUAAGCGUGCCGGGCUUAACAGCUUUUCCUUCUCCCCAGUGGCGAUUGCAACAGGAUUGCAACAGCCCAGCCUAGCUGAGCCACUGCACGUAGUACGGAUGUGUCUGCAGUGCUAACUUCGAGAGAAGACACGAGGCAGGGAUUCUCACAAUGGUUUCCUGAGCUCUGAUAGCAGCCUGGUUUUCACUGGAAGAAUUUCUUCCCCUGCUCAUUGUACUCUUAAGGCUUUGUGGAGUUUGCUCAAGUUCGAGAAAGAGGACAACCUACCUGAGUGGUUUAUCACAAGCAGCCCUGGCUUGAAUGUGUGCUUGUCACUUCCUUAUUUAGUUUGCAUUUCCUGCCUCUGCCGUGCAUGGUAAAAUUCAACAUAAUAAUUUUAAAAUACCGUAUUUUUUGCUCUAUAAGACUCACUUUUUCCCUCCUAAAAAGUAAGGGGAAAUGUGUGUGCAUCUUAUGGAGCGAAUGCAGGCUGCGCAGCUAUCCCAGAAGCCAGAACAGCAAGAGGGAUUGCUGCUUUCACUGCGCAGCGAUCCCUCUUGCUGUUCUGGCUUCUGAGAUUCAGAAUAUUUUUUUUCUUGUUUUCCUUCUCCAAAAACUACGUGCGUCUUGUGGUCAAGUGCGUCUUAUAGAGCGAAAAAUACGGUAUUUCUCCCAAUAUUGGUUCCACAAUAAUAACACAAGACUGUUGCUGAGUCACAAGAGUGUUUCAAAGGCACCUGAAUCCCAGUGUAUGUCUGCUCAGAAAUAAAUCGCAUGCUGUUCAGUGAGGCUUACUCCCAGGUAAGUGUGUAUAAGGCAUCAAAUACACAGUUGCCUGGGACACCUUUCCCAGCCCCAGUCACUAAGGGCCAUGACAGAGAGCAAUCUCCAACAAAGUCUUGUUUCCUGGGCGGAACUCGGUUAUUGGCAUCUCCUCCCCCCCCCCAUUAGUUGUUCAGCUUCCCUUUUCUGAUAGCUACUUGGUAAAUUUUAUCUCAGUUACAGAUGUUGGAAGCUGCCUUAUACUGAAUUGCAGGGGCAGCCCUAGACAUUUUGCUGCCUGAAGCAAAAUGUCCCACUCAACUUCCUCCUAAAGUCAAUAAUGACAGAGACAGACACAACUUGCCAGGGAGGGCAUGCCACAAAUGGGGAACCACCACUGAAAAGGCCCUGUCAAGUGUCAAUGACAACCAAAAAUAGAAGCCACCUAUUUUUGACAACACAGGAAGUAUUUCGGGCAGCAGUUGUGGGGAAGUGAAAUGGAAGAUGCUGGGAUGUCAGGGUUUCUAGAAGGAUGCUCUGAGUGCAAUAAGCUUCCCAAUAUAAUUACUGCAAAUUCAUUUUAAUGUGACUAUAUAUUCAUGAGUAAAACUCUAAUGUGAUGGCAUCAUAACUGGCAUGUCCACAUUCACUCAUCCUUUUGGAUUUAUCUCAUUUCCUUGCUGCUUACCAGAAGCAGAAGCACAACUCUGACCUACUGUCUUUUUUCAUCCUAACCCACCUCAAGGACCAUGUUUGGUAUGAGUGAACACUGUCCUCUGGGUAGACAGCUUGUGGCAGUGGCCCAGUUAAUAUGUCCCAAGUGGAGCAGUCACAUACCACCCCGCCCCCCGCCUCUGGCCCUGUGUGGAGCAGUUCCACAGUCACGGAACAUAUCAGCCAAUAGAACCAUGCCACAGGUUAAUAUCCACAUCACAAGGAAUACCCUAAUGUUAGAAGAAGAAAGGAGGAAGGCAUAGGUGAAACUCAACAGGAGUUCCAUCAUGAUACUCAUCUGCAUUAAGUCAAUAGGUGAGGGACACGUUCUGGGUCACCGCCUCAAAGGGUGUGCACUUAAGAUAACACAGUCAGAUUCCAAGAUAUCUACAUGGUCUAUUGGUUGCGUAGCAUGAAGAUAAGAUGCACAUUUGUGCUACAUAUAUGGUAGUGCUUUCCGUUUGAGAAAUGGUUUUGUGUAUUCACCUUUGACCACCAUUACCAGUGUGUCAUGCCUUCAGCUCUGUUUGCUUUUGAAAACUUCAUUUAUACUGCCCUGACCUAUUUUAGAUAAAUGGGCUCUUGGAAAGGCUUAAAAGAAAUAGCAAGGCAAAGUUCCAUGCAUUUUACCAGAAUGUAGAGCAUGACCUCUCCCCACCACUGUAAUCCAGAACAAAACUCUUGAGGUUGAACAAGGUCAACAAAAACCCAGCAAAAGGAAAUGCUUAUUAGACACAUGCAUGGUUUUAUCUGUGGAACUGCCCUAGGAUGUAUUCUGCCCACCUAACAUAUAUGGUUAUAAUCCAUGACUGCCAAAAAUGCAGUCUUCAUUUCCAGAGAUAGGCUAUCUUUGACUGUUGCUUCCUAGAAUUCCUCCAUCUCAUCCUCAUUGUUGAUAGAAAGCUAACAUUGAGCAAGAACCGGUCUGACUCAACACAGCAGUCCUUGUCUUCUUUCCUCCUAUAACAGCUUCCUUCCUCCUAUAAGAUCAUAAUGGUAGUUUGAGGAUCCACACUGAAGUUCAUUCUUACAAUCCUAAUGAAAGGCAUAGUCUGAACUAAUGAAUACUUAGAAAAAUGUACUUCCCAAGGACAAGCAGUUGCCUCCCUUCAUUUUUCCACUACAUUAUUUUAUCAUCCCAAUCUACAUACACAUGCACACUCCAAAGCCUUAGUUUUCUCUAAAGCUAGAAUCCCAAAAGUUGGCUCAAAAACCAUUCCAAGCAAGUGAGAGGAAGCUGGGGGGCGGGAAUGAGGCUGUUUGUGAAAUGGCAGAUUCUCUGUCACUUCCAGGUACGAAACAGCAGCAGACAAAUCUGGCAAGACAGAAAUCAGUCACCCACAGACUGGAUUUCUCCCAAGAGCUGCCUGUUGCUUCCUGCUGGUUGUAUGAGGAGGAAAUGAGUGAAUAUUGUGUUGGAGAUGUUAUUGUAGUGCCAAGAGAUGCUUAGGAAAUCUUGGUACGAAGCAGAAAAUGUCAGUAUUAUUGGCAGAGGCCAACAAAACGUUUCUUUGCAUGUUCUUCCUUUUCAUGGUACCAUCGUAGUGGAAUGUAACACCUCAGAGGUGCAAGCUUUCCUAGGAGUGAAGUUAGUUAAAAAUGUAAGGCAGUCAAGAUUAUAGUUUUUUAUUCUCCUUUCAUACCUUGGGGGGGGGGGGACUGUUUGGACUCAACAUGUAGCAUCUGUUCCAAAUCAGUUAGUAAAGAUUCAGUUUCAACUUACCUUUUUGUCUUUUUUUAUUUUUUAAUUAAACCUGGUGAGAAUUGUAGGUGACAAUUUAGUUUUAGCAAAUUAAAAAUGCUGACCAGAAUUGGCAACUGCUGAUACCAACUGCUCAAGGGACAUGAUCAGGUGCAUUGCCUCUCUCACGCCUCACAAUUAUAUCCUGAACAGUAGCGAGGACUACUUGGCAGGCUAGGCAAACACACAAAGCAAUAUAUCCACUGGAAUUUUGCACACUGCUUCCAGUGAAAGAGCAAUGACAAGGUGGCACUAGAGGGCUCCAUUCUGGGAGCACCGCCUGACCCCACCAUCACACAUGCUAGCAUAUCUCCAUAAUCAUUGGGAUCCCAUGUUUCUGAAACGUCUUCUCUAGUAUUAUGCUAUAAUACACAGGCCUCUGGAUUGCUGCCAACCAUCACUACACUUUCGGCGGGUGAGGGACUAUCCUUUGCAAUCUCACAAAUUAAGUUUUUAAACAACAGAUCAGCGCUGCUCAUUGCAAUUUGACAUUUCACAAAUCCAAAGAGAUGCAGACAACAUUCAGGAGAAAACAAUAAAUGACACAAACAAUAUAAUAAGCCAUUAUAUGCUUUGCUCAGACCACAAUCCAAACAAUAUCUGAUUAUUAUUUACAGAACUGUGUUAAAAAUCUGGUCUCUUUGGGAUAAUAGAUGAGUUGGGUCACUUCAAUGUAGAAAAUAGUGUGCAAUAUUCAGCAUUUAUAAUUUGUUUCCUUUCCAUUCUUUAUUUCUGGAAGUCAAAAGGAAAUUGGUCAAAUAACUAACUGAUAUUAAGAACAGUUUGUCUCUUUGCUGCUUCAGAUUCUUAAAUCUGCAGCCUCUAAGGUUUUUUGUUUGUUUGUUAUCACUGUAAUCAUUGUAAUCUAAAAUAAUAAGAGGUGUUGUUUCAUUUCUUCACUUCAGGAUUAGUAUGCACACAGAGGAACUAACCUGUUGUGCAUUUUCUAAACUAGAACCACUUUUGCAUUUAGAGAGCAAUAAAUUAACUAUACAAUAGCCUGGUCCCAGAAUCACUGAAGGGCUCUCUCGUCCAAUCUAAGCCUGCCCAGUCACACUGAUUGUUGCUCCAUGUUUUCCUGACCACACAGGAAACAGCCUUCUCAGAAUUUGGAAUUCUUUCCCCUGGGAAGCCUGUUUGUCGUCUUCCUGCUGUUCUGAUGUAAAGGAUGUUUGAAAAUCAUUCUUCCAAAUGACACUUGGAAGCAUAGUACUGGCUGCCACUGUAUUUGCAGUGUCUGCUGCUCCUCGUUGCUUUAAAUAAUUUUACUGCUUUUUAUGCUUUUUAGGUUUGUGUUAGCAUUUGUUUUGGCUUUGUACCAGGUGGAAUAGAAAUGCUAAUUAUUAACAGCAACUACUACAAUACAAAACACUGAAAAAUAUGGAUGAUUGCAUGGUAAUGAACUCUGAUCAAUAAUACCAAGGUAGAGUUGUGGCCUGCUUCUCCAAGGCUUGGUUCCAAAUAAAAAAAAAGUAACCUUGAUUAGUACGUUUUGCUUGGUUUCUUGCAGCUGUAAUAUUGAAGUUAAUCUCCGUUACUGGGUAGCAUACCCUCCAGCAUGUUGGGUCUCAAAACUGGGGUGCAUGUCUUCCUGUCUGAGCUCCCACACAAGUCAUGUGACCCACACAAGACCACAGAGCCCAAAAGACAUGCUUUUUAGGGCAGUGCUCUCACAGCACCCCAAAACACACAUUUUUGGGGCCGUGCGUGAGAUUGCGCCCCCCCAAAAGUGUUUUUUCUGGGGCGAGAUCCUUGGCGCAAAAUUGCACAAGAUCAUGGUGCCCAAAAUGGCUGCCAUGCUCUCACAGGAAAUAAUGGGAUGUGCCAUGGUUUUCCGGGACACUUGUGGGGUUUGGGGUAAUAGGCAGGCUGUUUAUGUAUCAGGCCUGUCUUCCCACAGGCAGAAUUGGCGUAGAAAGCUAGAAACAAUGGUAGCCCAUGGUGCUAAGAGCUGGAGUCAGGCUCCAUUUGGAACUUGAGGAACAGGUGAGGGAGUAGGGGAGUCUGGGCUGAGAAAGGUAGUUUAAGCAGCAGAGCCAUCCCGACUUGCUUGCCUACGUCACCAAAAGUAUAUAUUUUAAAAAUGCGCAGUACUGGAACAUAGGAAACUGCCUUAUAUUGAGUUGGAUCGUCUUUUCCUGCUUCUAGUUCACUACUGCCUGCACUGAUUAGCAGUAGCUCUCCAGGGUUUCAAACAGAAGUAUUUUCCAGCCCUAUCUAGAGAUGCCAGAGAUUGAAUCAGGGACCUUUUGCCUACAAAGCUCGUGUUGAACCGCUACAAAGCUGUGGCCCUUCCCUGACUGGAAUUUGAUCUAUCCUACACAGGGCUAUACAUGGCUGCCAGCCAUUCAGGAGUCAAAAAGGAACUGAGUCAUAAGGACGACCCAGAUAAAUUUGUGUAGAACUUCGAACACUUGAAAUGAGCCAUACGAAUGCUGAGUAGAUGAUCUUCCUACUUGCCAGGCUUUCUACAGUAGCUGUCAGUAAGGCCUUCAAGUCUAGACAAUUCCAGAUGAAAGUCCCACAGGGGCCUAUAAUCUGGACUGAGGCUAUCACAGGCCCGAAGUCUCACCAACUCGUUGUCGAGAAGUGGAAGUCCCGCUCCAAGAGAGCAGAAGGGGAUGUCCCACAGUGCACAACACACAGCUACAGUUACCUUGCUGAAGCCCUUUCCACUGACCCUACACCUCCAACAACCUGGCGAUUUGACCACAAGGCUCCCAUGAGCCGGCUGUGAGUCUUGACCCACCAUUUGGGGAUUGCUGACACAUGCAACGUUCAGAAAAGAGAGAGUUUCACUGAAAGCUGUACCCUGGAAAUGAACUCCACUAAUCAACUGUUCAUGAUUCCAACAGAUGUUUCUGUUUAUCAGACAAUUGGAUCCUCAUGUUCAACCCCUGUGUUCCUUCCCCCCCUUCCUCUUUUAAGACAAGAAGCAAAUGCCACUACACAUCUGAAGCUUCAGAAACUUGCCAUAUGAUACGAGGAACAAAUUGCUAAGCCAGUCAGUAAUGCUAAGGUUUGAAGUGGUGGUCCAUCAAAGCUGCAGCAGGGGGAAAAAAGGAGGGCUUGGGGUGGAGGGGGGGUGCUGUACUACAUCUCUGUGGUUUUGUUCAUAGUGUGUCUGGAAUUUUGAAACAUCAAAUGGACUCUGAGUAAACUUUCUUUUUCCUCUUUCAGAAGUAUUGUUUUAGGAUGCAGAGAUAAUGUUCUGUGAUUAUUAUUAUUAUUCUAAAAAACGGAAAUGAGUCUUGGUUUGGUCAAAACCACAACUACAAAAGGAGGUUAUUGUUUCUCAUGAUCCUCUACAAUCUCACAUCUCAUGAGAAAGUACUCACUUGGGUGACCAGAACACCAAGAAAUAUUGAAGCAAAACCUUUGCUUUGUUUGUUUGCAGAGACCUCGUAAAAAUCGGGGCUUUCUUGUAAGCUUCUCUUCUAUUUAGGAAUGACUAAUCAGUGUGCAGGAUCAACUUCUGUCACAUCACUCUGAAGAGGAGCAAAAUGUCUGAUGGCUCAAAAGGAUGUGGUUUAACCGCAUGCCACCAAAACCAAAGAUGAGGAGCGAAGACUAAACACCUGUUGGGCCCAACACAACAAAGUGAUUCAGUUCUGCAGGCACUGGAGACAGAAUUUCCUUGGAAAUAAGUUAGCUCUUGCACAAACAGCUUUCAGUGACUAAUGCCAAAGGUACUCCACUCUCUGCCCCCGCUUUCACUUCUGAUCCGUCAUCAAUUGUUUCCUGAGUUUAUCUUGGCGGAGUAGCUCAGUUCAGGAACGUAUUACUAUUCACAGUGCACAACUGAACAACUUAAAGGUAGGGUUCCCCACCUCUAGCACUGAGUUGGAAUAACUGGCAGCACCUUCAGACCAUCGGGGCCUGUCCUAAUAGGUUUUUGAUGCCUAAGGCAGAAAAUCUGAAUAGAGACCUCAGGCCGUGAUUUAUUUAUUUAUCCCAAUUUAUAUGCUGCUUGAUUAAAAAGCAUACUACAAGCUCCAAGCAGUUUACAUAAAAUAAUAUAAAAACAGUCAUCAGAAAAGACUGAUAAAACCUUACUGAGAAAAGAAGACAUAAUAAAAUUAUCAAAAUAUAGAUACGAUCAACAAAUAUAUAACAAAUAUAUAUAUUACAAAUAUAUAUAUUUCAUAUCUGGGUAGGUUUGCCUAAACAGAAAGGUUUUUAGCAGUCAGUAGACAUAGUACAAAAAAAGGUACCUGCCUGGUUUUAAAUGGCAGUGAUGCAUACCUUCUCUUGUGUGACCAAAGACUAUUAAAGUCAUUUGUUUAACUGCAAGCUCACUUUUUAGAAAACCUAAGUACAGGAACAAAAAAAAAUACAUGUUUUGUCAAGCGAAAAGCAAGAGAAAACACAUAUAAAUUUUUAAGUGUUGCUUGCCUGGGGUGGCACUUGCCCCCUACCCAUCCCUGGCACCGCCAUGACUACCCAAAGGCAUGUCAACUCUCCAGCAGAGAAGCAGAAUACCUGAAGGUCAGCCAGUGACAUUGGAAAUGCAUAGUUCCAAGCCAAGGCCUUCUUGCUAGCACUCAGAUGAGGGACAAGGCUCAGGCUCUGAACAGGCCUGCUUUUUUUUUUGCUUCUUCAGGCACAUCAAAGCUCAGGCCAGAGUCAAAGCAGCACCUGUCUUCCUUGGGAGUUAUCCUAGGUCCUGAAGGACCUGUCCUUGGUUUCUGGAGCCUGUUCUAGCUAAUUGUUGUUGUGUGACUUCCAGCUCAGUCCCCUGUGGGAUGGCAGCCUGGCUGAAACAGGAUACAUGGUGCAUGUGAAUUCUCCCUUGGUAUGCCAGCCACACUAAUAUAAUAGCUUUGCUCCUGAUAUGCUAAGAGGCUCCUGAAUCCUUGCGACAAGGCAAGGCUAAGCUCUUUUAGCUGAUUUCUUUUUUUGGAUAAGAUAUACUACAGGAUAUUCUAAAGAAACAGGAAAAUCAAAUGGUUCUUUAAAACCAACAACCUUAGCAUUUCUCUAAAGGAUAAAAGAGAGGGGGCCAUCCCCAUGAGAUAAGGGGCCACUAACCUCUUUUUCCAGAAGCAAGGCCCAUUGUGUUCAGUGGGAUCUACUUCCAUGGAAGUGUGCAUGAUUCUAGCUAAGGUCCCGUACCCCAUGAAAAACAUUUUCAUUUACCCAGUCGUUUUUUUGACUGAAUGAUAUUCCCGGCAACCUGAAAUUAUUAGCUGUGGGGCAGAUGUGAUUGUUUUUAGAUGUUCUUAAUUGUUUUAAAUAAGUUUUUAUUUUAUCUUCAGUUGUAUUGUUUAACUACUCUGACACCUUGCCUGGGCUCCUUUGGGAGGAAAGGCGGGAGAGACAUUUAAUUGAAGAAAUAAAAUAAACGAAAGUUGAAACAAUUCACUUUCUUUCUUCUUUUAAUUUUAAAUUUUUAUUGGAAUUUUAUUUACAGCAUAACACAACCCCCCACCCCCCAAUACACAUUAAAUGUGAACAUAACAUACAGUGAACAUAACAUACAACAAUACAAACAACCAAAUAAAAGACUUCCUUUAUCCUGUAUCUGGCCUCCUUAUUUACUUCUUAUAAACUGUGUCCUUUAUGAAUAAUUAUUAAGAUUUUUCUAAUUAUAACUUAAAUAUCCACAAAGUCUCCUGCAGUCAUUAAUCGAAACAAGUCCAGGUAUGUAUUUUAGGGCACUGUUUUGUGAAGUAUUCUCUGCAUUUCCCCCAUGCUUUUUGAAACUCUUGUCUAGUGUGAUCUCUAAUUGCCUCUGUUAAACCAACCAGUUCAAUAUACUCUUAACAUUUUAUCUUGCCAUUCCUUUUUGAAACAACUCACUUUCUACUGUCUCUCCGACUGCUGUUUGAAAUAUUUGGGAUGGGAAGUGCUGCUCUUGUUCCUCUACUAGAAAAAGCCCCAAGAGCCGGGUGACUUAUACUUGGUGCUGUGGAGAUCGAAGGCAUCUUUUGUGACUCAUGCUGAACUGUCAAGAUCAUCCAGCAGCAGCCUCUGUUUAGUGGGCCAGGCAUCCACUCACUGCUGAAUGUGUGCCAGCAGUUGGCAUGAGGACUGGGAGCCCUGAGAGGCUGUUUCAUUGCUCAGGCCACUGGCACUUCCUUUUGGUGGUUGCCUUCCUGCCGGAAGGCUUGGUUCUUCGGCUGUGUUUUACUUUUUCUUUUGCACAUUUGGAUCCUGAAAGUUUGAUUCAGACUUUUCUGUUUCCUGUUCAAUUUAUGGCUCUGUUUUUGCUGAUGAUUAGGCCCCAGAACCAGCUGUUCUGCUGAUGAAGAUGUCCUCAAUUAAUUCUAGCCUGUCUGGUUUUCCAGGAAGUCCGUUUGUCUCCCCCAGCCCCCUUCUCUUGUCAUCCCUGACUGAAAUUUAUCAGAGCCCCAGCAGGCAGGAAAUUUGCUUCUUUUACAAAAACAUACUCCUCUGCUUCUUAUUUUUAUUGUUUUAAUAUUUUCCAGUGGUGGGGCUGGGAGACAAAACCUGCUUCCUCUUUAGAAAGCUCGGUUAACCUCUGAAGUGCUUGUUUCAUUCAUCACGGGUUGCUGUGGCUCCUGGUCACUUGCAAUGGAAUUCGUUUCCAGAGUAAUCUGAAAUUUGUGUUAGUGUUCAAACAAACACGCACGACGUGAUCCUUCAAAGGCUUCCGCUGCCUCCAACUUCACGAAGUUCUCUUUGUUUUGAAGUCAGAUUGCUGUACACAUCCUUACAGACUGAGGGGCCUAAAACCCAAUCUUUUGGUGCUCAGGGAAUAAAGGUGGGUUUCUCAGUUCCAUAUAUGUGUCCUGGGAGGUAGGCAGGGGUGAUUAAAACUGGAAUAAUACAGUGGUACCUCGGGUUAAGAACUUAAUUCGUUCUGGAGGUCCGUUCUUAACCUGAAAUGGUUCUUAACCUGAGACACCACUUUAGCUAAUGGGGCCUCCUGCUGCCGCCGCCCUGCCACCACACGAUUUCUGUUCUCAUCCUGAAGCAAAGUUCUUAACCCGAGGUACUAUUUCUGGGUUAGCAGAGUCUGUAACCUGAAGCGUCUGUAACCCGAGGUACCACUGUACUUCUGUGACAGACAGAAAAUUGAAAUUUGCUACAGAUGUGCUCUAAGUGGAGAAAAGGCUGUCACUCAGCAUGUAGAGAACCUGUUUUGCAUGCAGAAGGUCCUGGUUUCACUCCCUGGCAUUUCUAGGGAGGGCUGGGAGAGAACUCUGCCUGAAACCCUGUAUCAUCAUCUGUAUCAUUCCCAUUUCAGUAUACGUGCUGUCAAAGCGAGCAUGAUACCUCCUGCCUGUCAGUAUAAUACAACUCCCUUCCCAUGUUCCUAAGGUACACUGAAUGUCAGAAAGUCAGAUAUUAUUUUUGUUGGCAUCUUUCUGUCUCGAGAGACAAUGGAGUGCUCUUCUAGGGAUGAAGUCAAACCACUGUGUUAGCAGUACGGAAGUGACCUGCCUGGGGCACAAGCCUCCUCAUGGUCUCACUCAUGUGGUCUAAAGGAAAGCAGAACAAUACAUUUGGCAUUAGCUUGGCUGCAGGAAUUGCUGGAAGGAGGCAUACAAGGCAUCAUUGAGCCAUCUUAGGGAGUCCAUAUUUGUGUAGGGUUUACUCCUUGGCCUUUUCUUCUCCCAAAUAUAUCCCACAAGGCAGCAGAGGUUUAGGAUCAGAGUUUUCCUUCUCCUAGAUGGGGCUCAUCAACCUGGGAAGUUAGCCUAUCUGCCCCUGUGUGGUCUGCCUUCCCAGGUUGAUGAGCCCCAUCUGCCCCUCACUUCCCUCUAAAGCACAUGAAGAAACCACCUUCUUGACCAUUAGACCCACUAUUGGUCUCAUCCAGUCAAUCCACUGGAAGCUGUGUCUGUAUACAGGGGAAGUCCCAAACUUACUGAGGGCUUGAGAUCCAUCAGCAACCCUCACCUGGUUCAGCCAGCCAAUCGAAGCUGUUCCUGGGGUGUGGCUGCUGUGUGGACAGCUUCUAGGAGCCACAGAUUAGAGCUGAGUGGGGUGGGGACCAGUUGGGGGAGGGGACCUCAUCCAUUUGUCCUCUGGCACACAGCCACUUCCUUCAUUACCCUAAUGACCCAUACUUAGGAGGCCAUUACCAAGAAGCUGUCCUGGCUAUUCCAGCAAUUUAAUCCUUGCUGAAUGCAGGAAUUACAAAGGACUCAAACCACACACAAACCCGCAAACUCACAACUACAGUGGUGCCCCGCAAGACGAAUGCCUCGCAAGACGGAAAAACCGCUAGACGAAAGGGUUUUCCGUUUUGAAGUUGCUUCGCAGGACGAAUUCCCCUAUGGGCUUGCUUCGCAAGACGAAAAUGUCUUGCGAGUCUUGAGAUUUUUUUUCGCUUUCCCCCCCCUUUAUCUAAUCUGCUAAGCCUUUAAUAGCCUUUAAUAGCCUUUUAGCAGCUAAUCCCCUAAGCCUUUAAGCCUUUAAUAGCCGCUAAACAGCUGAUAGCGCUAAUAGCGCUAAUCCGUCAAUGGGCUUGCUUCGCAAGACGAAAAAACCGCUAGACGAAGACUCUUGCGGAACGGAUUAAUUUCGUCUUGCGAGGCACCACUGUAUAUAGAGGGCAAGGUUAGCAUCAACAUUAGAGGAAUGGACAUUUAAGGAUCACUUAUACACAAAUAGAUUUUGUUAUGUGACCAGCCAUGACAAUGGUGUACAGGAGCCACUUUUGCUGAGAUUCAAUCCCGUAUGACUGGAGCUUAUCUAUGAAUGACAUAGUCAUAUGUAGGGGCUGACUUUGGUAAUAUAGUGCCCAGAGUGAGGACAAAAUCCCCCCCCCAUCUUAUUUUCACAAUAAUUCAUUUUGGUACAGUUGCUUUUUAUGCACUUUUUCAAUAGGUACCUCUAUAAAUAUUGGUGUUGUUAUUGUCGUUUUGCACUCCUUGGCUUGGUGCCCUGUGCAGGGUGUCUGCCCAUGCCCCACUAAAUCUGGCACUGCCAUACAGACAGGGCAGAUUGGAAGGUUCUUUCUAUUCAAACCAUUGGUGCCAAGGAGAAAGAAGCCAUGAUAUACCCUGCCCACGUGGUUACCUCAUUCCCCAAACCAUGUAGGAGCACAAAACAGAAAAGCAGUUCCCAUGUGGCUAUAAAAAAAUGGCAUAGCCUUUCCCUCUUGAUCACAUCCAUAACGCCCACAUGUGCCCCAAGUCUGCGGAUCUGAAUCUAGAACGUUUCCCUGGGUGGCUAUUUCUCCUGCAAGACAUAAUGCAAAGCAAAGGGGAAAGUAGAAGCAAAUUUCAGUGUUUUCUGCUUCUCUUAAACUGCCUGAACUGAAGCCUGUAUUAUUUAUGAUAUUUUGUGGCCAUCCUUGAACCGUAUCCCUUUGUAAUAGCAACGGGGAGGUUUGGCUUGCACAAUGGAGUCCCCCCCCCCCAUCUCUGAGGCUGAAGGGAAUGGUUUAAUGGCUUCCUUCUAUUGUCUUAUCUCUUGCUAUCUUCUCCGCCACUAAUGGUCUUUGUUAGAAAUUUUAUCGACAGUGUGUUUUUUGUUCCCGGAGAACAAUAAAGUGAAUACUGCUUAGCCAAUCAGUUUGGAAAGUACAUAUGGAAAUCUUUAGGAUUGCAAAACAGCUCCAAAGGAUAUUAGUGUGCUGGCUGCUCCCAGCAUAGCAAAUAUUUGGUUUGCGAUAGAAACCAAAUAUACAGGAUUAGGCCAAAUAAGAUUCCAUCUGGGUGGAAAUUCACAUAGAUUUAUGCUGGCCUCAUCGGAUAUCAGCCAGAUAAGGGAAUACUUCUCAAACAUAGUCCUGUCCUGAUCUGUCCUUUAAAGGAGGAAAAAGUUGCUAUUUUCAGCACAUAAUACAAGGCCUAUGUCCACAUUAUAGAUUUAAAGAACUAGUAUACCAGUUUAAAGAGUCAUGGCUUUCCCCCCAAAUAAAUCCGGGGAAUAGUCGUUUGUUUAGGGUGCUGAGAGUUGUUAGGAGUUACAAUUUCCAAGGUUCCCUGGAGACAGGGAUUGAUGGCUAAACCACACUGGGAACUAUAGCUCUGUGAGUGGAACUGGGAUCUCCGAACAGCUCUCAGCAGCCUUUAGCAAGCUAUGAUUAUCCCAUGAUUCUUGGGAGGAAGCUAUGACCGUUGAAAGUGGUGUGAUGCAGCUUUUAAUGUAUGAUGGCCUAAGGCUCAAGCUACACUUUAUGUUGACAGCCAUAUAUAAAAGUAGAUGGGACGAUUUUAGAGCAUAAGGAGUGAAUUGGUGGGGGUUGCUAAACCAUCCUCUCCCACCUUCCACAACUUAAGGCCUAGGACCCUUGUACCUACGGGACCGUCUCUCCUGGUUUGUCACACGGAGGACCUUACGGUCUGCAAAUAACAACACCCUGAAGAUUCCGAGCCCCAGGGAGAUUAGACUGGCCUUGACCAGAGCCAGGGCCUUUUCGGCCGUGGCCCCAGCCUGGUGGAACGCUCUCUCACAAGAGACCAAGGCCCUGCGAGAUUUGACAUCCUUCCGCAGGGCCUGCAAGAUGGAGCUGUUCUGCCAGGCCUUUGGUCAGGGUUCAGUCUGACUAAUUUUCUCUUUGUAUAAAAACAAGUAUGAAGGAGGUUUCCCAGCCCGCUCACAGGACCUUAUUAUAUCAGUGGAAACAGUUGGUCCUGGCGAGUAUUAACCGCUUUCAAUUUUAACCUGAGGAUUGCCAUUUGUCCAGUUUUAACUUUAAUUUUAAUUCAUUUGAAUUAAUUUUGGGAUGUAUUUUAAUCAAUUGAUUGCUUAUUUUUAUGCAUAUUGUAUUAUUUAUAUGAUGUUAGCCGCUCUUCUGGUUGGGGAGGGUGGGGUACAAAUAAAAUUUUAUUAUUAUUAUUAACUUGCAGCCUUUCAUGAAAUUUCCCUUCUAGUGGAUUCUGAACCUAGAAAAGGGCCAGACAUGGAGAAAAGCAAGCCUCCCAAUGCUUAGUCACUGCUGCUUACAGGGAGGAUAGGGAGGGGCAAGGUGGUGGCGGCAGAUCAGUGCAGUGCAAAUGCAUCAGCAGCAGCACUGGAUUGGCACCGCUGGUGCAUUUGCACCACAUUGACUUCCCUGACGCCUUGCCCCCCUCCCAGUAAACAGCAGCGACUCAGCUGUGAGGAGGUCAGCUGAGUGCUGUCGCCACACCACUCCAUCCACUACUGGGUUAACCUCCUUCAUCCCCUAGUGCUGUGAUUCUGAUAUGAAUUCCCUCCUCCCCAUCCCCAAGUCUGCUAUUAAAACUAGUUUGGCUCUCAUUGCAUCAUAAGCUCACUUCCACUUAAUGUAAGCAAUUAGAUUUCAAGUGGCAUUAUUAAUGAGGUGCAGACAUUGAUUUGCACCUACCCCCUAUAUGAGUGAGAUAAACCACAGGCAUUAACAGAAAACAGCUGGUAGCCACAUUACUUUGCUAUGACUUAAUGUGCUUCUGUAAUGAUAUUUUCCUUCUCCAUCAACAUUUUCCUGUGCCUUCAUCUGUAUAUGUUUAUGGGAAAGCAAGAAAAGUGUUGACAUAGGAUGAAAAGGCAGUUUGGGGUCUGCUGUACAUGGAAAAAUAAUAAAUAUUGUUUCUUAACACUCUCUUUUAAAAAUGGUGACAGUUUAGUUUUUUAAAUACAACUUACGGCAUUAAUCCAAGAUUGUUGGUAGUGGGGAAAUACCAGAAAUCAGAAAAUUAUCACAUUCAUUUAAUUCACAUUCUGACCAGUAUAAGCAACCUGUGGCUUAGUAGAAGCUUAUACAUUUUCAUUACGAUUUGGAGCAGGAGGGGAAAUUUUAUCUAGGGGUGAUUUUAACGUGCAAGUCCCAAGUCAUGUUAGUCACCAGUGAACUUCAGGGAUCUUGGCAGGAAGAUAAGGACCCCGUAUAUAUUUUUUUCAUUGGUAUUGCCCCCGCCAAGCAAAUUCACACAUGAAAAGAGGCUUUGUAGGUUUCCAAGGUCCUGACUUCACAUUGUUUUCAGGUGGGGAGUGCUCCCCCAACCUUUGAAUGACACAGUCCUUUUUUCAAUUGCUGUUUCCAACUCAUAGGGAUACAGAUAUGUCAACCUACCCCCUCAGAUGAAAAAGAAAACCAACAAGUUAAAGAGAAGGGGGUUUGGAAUUCCUUAAUUACACUAUGCCACAACUGUUAACAACUACAGUGGUACCUCUGGUUACAUACUUAAUUCGUUCCAGAGGUCUGUUUUUAACCUGAAACUGUUCUUAACCUGAAGUACCACUUUAGCUAAUGGGGCCUCCUGCUGCCGCUGCUCCGCUGCUGCACGAUUUCUGUUCUCACCCUGAAGCAAAGUUCUUAACCUGAGGUAAUAUUUCUGGGUUAGCGGAGUCUGUAACCUGAAGCGUAUGUAACCCGAGGUACCACAGUAUUUUGUUGCUGUGCUUUACUCAAGCAUCAUGAACACGCUUUGGAAUGUUCUCUCACCUUAAGGACUUCUGGGAGGAAAAACACAGUGUAGGAAUGUAAAAGUAGCUUGUUUUCAACCACUCAUAGCUGUCUGCUUCUCUUCUUCACUGUGCUUCAGGGCAGACAUUGGCUUUGUAGUACAAAGUGUGCCAGCCAGGACUACUGAAAGGACACGCGGUUCCUAGAAACACACAUGAAUGUCGUCUGUCCCCUCAGUUUGGCUGCUGACUACCAGAGUUGUUAGCAUCUUGUCUGACACAGACCUGCACCUAGCACCUGCCCCUUCAGUUUGCCAGCCACUGACUUGCACACUUCAGUUCUGGUCAUCUUCUAGGGGUGGAGGAGAAAUGCAAUUCAGUACACAUUUGAAGUCGAAUCUAUCAAAUUCGCACUUUCCAAAACAAUAUACUUACCAAAACACAGCUAAUCUUUGAUAGUCACACUUAAUUUUGCAGUGUGGCUCUCCAACUGACAUUUACAAAAAUGCAUAUAUUUUGGGAAGUGUGCAAAUACUACUACUACUACUACUAAUAAUAAUAAUGGAGACAAUAGUGAAUAUGACAUACAAGCGUGCAUUAUAGUAAGGAAAAUUGCUUGCUGAAAUUUACCCUCUCAGAUGAAAAAGAAAAGGACUAAUAGUCAAAACUGCAUCUAAAAUUGUGUUUAUUACAACUUCACACUAAAAUUCUGAUUAAUUUUCAUAAGGAUUUUUUAAAAAAUUAAAAGUAAAGAAGGUGUUUUCUUUUCUUAUUCAAGAUAAGUAAAUGUUAUGACUUACUCAAUAUAUUGCUCCAUAGUUCUGCACCCAGGCUGCAUUUUAUAUCCAUAUGCACUAGAGCCCCAAUGCAUCCACACACCCCCAGUCUGAGAUUAGGGAUAUAAAAAGGGGGGGGGAAUAGCAACCAUUUCUGGUAAAUAGGAGGCAUGAAAUAGCACGUGGGAUUGAUACACAGGGGAAUGUUCCUGUCUUUCACUCAUUUUUUAAAAGAAAAGCAAAGUCCAGGGUGUCUUCACUUGGCCAGCUGCUUGCAGGCUGGACAAUGGCCUGUUGUUGUCAGGCACGUUUCCAUAGAUCUUCAGUUUUAUUGCUCUGCUGGGGCUACCUGGAUGUGGGAAAUUGGAAUAAAUACUCAAAGAGGAUGUCUUUAGCUGGUAUUUUCAGCCAAAUUGAUAUGAGUCCAAGAUUUAAUACUUCCUCGCUUUCCACUAACCACAUGUUAUUGCGAAUAACAUGUUUUCAGGAAAUUGGAAACCACUACAAAUGCCGCACACUUUGAACUGGAACAUCACCUCUUAAUGUGGGAAUCAAAAGGCACCUGAAGCCUCAUUAUGUCCCGUUUUCAUCACAAGAGUGAGCUCCAUUUAUCAAACAGGAAAACUGAAGUGCGGAAAGGAUACAUUGUUCUGUGUUAAUACUGUCAGUUGUGGAGUGCUGUCACAGGACUCCCACCCAGUGCCUUGGCUACAGCCUAGCUGCAAGGGCGCCUUUAUUCCUUUAGAAUUUACUACUUGAUCAUAUAUAUAUAUAUUCUUAAUUUGAAAGCACAUUCUUAUUGGAAAGCCACAUCCUUAACUUCAAACAUGUAAUAAUUGUUAGAGAAUGACUUAAUAGGAAGUACAACCACUGAUGUGAUAUGAGAAGAAAUCUUGAAUAGUUGGAGCCCUGGGGUGCAGUUGGUGGGAGCUGCAGGGCACCUAUGCUUAAAGGCUGUGGUUUUUAGUGGGCUUUGUAGAAGGUGAAAGACUCUGAGGUUCAUUAUCAAGGCUUGAAAAAGGCUCGCAUAUUUAUAAAUGAGAGCAAAAUCCUAUGCAUGUCUAAUCUUAUUAAUAAUAAUUAACAUUCACAAAUAAGUCCCAUUAUGUUCAAAGCACUUCCUUCCAGGUAAGUGAGUCCAGGGUGGAAGUUUUAGUGCUCUAAGCAAAUGGCUUUCGCCCAGUAAAUCGGAUCAUCUACCACCAUCCACCCUGAAUAGAUCAGAGGAUCAUCAGUGUACACUGUACAAAACAACUCCCAAGUAUUUACUCAACAGACCAUGGGUAUUUAUUGACGUUAUGCAUCUUACAUAAUUAUUCCCUGCUUUUUCAGGCAAGCCUUCACAAAGCAGCAUACAAUAGCAUAACAAAAACCAAGCAACCAAAACCAACCAACCAAUAAUAGCAGCAUUCUAAUAUGUCACAAAUAAAUACAUACAUAUUAUUUAAGAACAUAAGAAGAGCCUGCAGGAUCAAGGCAACGGACCAGCACUUUAGUCACACAGUGGCCUUUUGGAAGGCCAGAGGCAGGAUCUGAGAACAACAGCUGUACUCUCCCCACCUGUGAAUUCAGCCACUGGUAUUGAGAGUCAUUCUGCCUCUGAUUGUGGGUGUAUCAUGUGGCACAGCAAGAAAGCCUCGGAGCACAUGAGAAUCUUUUGUCAUAUUCUGAGUAUUUAUGGUGCCCUACAACAAUGCCUAAACAUGCCUGCCAUGUUUUGAAAUUGGUAUUUUACAUGCCUAGCCCCAGUAGCUUUGUUUGGAACCUAUAACGUCUCUGAACAUAAAGGUAUGCUCAUAACCUAAGAGUAAGCUUCGAUUAGCUUGUUCCAGAUGUGGGGAGAGGGAAAAAGCUGUUAGAAAUCUCCAGAUCUUAAUAUUUAAUAAGUAUGCUCAGUGGCUAAAGAAAGGAGAAUAGAGAGUCAUGGCAAGAGUAACUGAAAUUAAAGUUGCAGCCAUAUGCACACUUAUGCAUACCAUAUGCAAAAGCCUUGGACGAGGCAAGAAUGUGAGACAGAUUACCUCACUUUGGAGGUAUUUGGACUGCUUCUGAAGCAACUUGGGUCUGAAGUAGUCUGAGGUGAUUGAAUCUCUCUGGAAGCAGCAGCAGCAGCGAUGCUCAAGGCUCCCAAAGAAAUGGCUUUGAAGCCACCACUACUUGGGACAUGGUGUCCCACUGCUCAGUGGGUGGCUAACAGGAUUCAUCCGCUCACAAGGGGCUACUAUGCCUGCAAAUUUCAGCCAGUUCUGCCAAACAAUUAAAAAGAUGCAGGUGUUUGUUGAUGUCUCAUGUUAGUACAGCGGUACCUCAAGUUACAUAUGCUUCAGGUUACAUACACUUCAGGUUACAGACUCUGCUAAUCCAGAAAUAGUGCUUCAGGUUAAGAACUUUGCUUCAGGAUGAGAACAGAAAUUGGGCUCCAGUGGCGCGGCAGCAGCAGGAGGCCCCAUUAGCUAAAGUGGUGCUUCAGGUUAAGAACAGUUUCAGGUUAAGUAUGGACCUCCGGAACGAAUUAAGUACUUAACCUGAGGUACCACUGUAAGUGGGAAUAACAAAUGAGAAUUCAGAAAACAAGAUGAGACUCUAUUUCAUUUCUAAGGUGAAGCAUGAAGUCAGCCCUACUGUUCUAGCCUCCCAGGCAACACACUAACUGAGCCAAUGAGACAAGUUCUGAAGUGAACAGACAGAUGUUGCACAGCACUGGGUAGUUCUGAUAAACUAAUUAAGUAGAGCUUUAUUUCUGCCAUGGCUCUGUUCCAGCAUCUCUUUUCUGUGCUCAGCCUUAACCUUGGAACCCAUGAAACAGAUACAGCUAUAUGUGUUCGGCAUUUCCUUCACUACAAGUCUCCACACAACACAAAGGUCUAUCAGAUGAUGAGUCUUGAGCCCUGGCAUAUUUCUUCUAGAAAUUAAGAACUACUUCUAAGUUAGAAUGCAUAGGAUGCAAAGCUUCAAGUGCCCUUCUUUAGAAUUCACUGCAAUCUCAGAACCAGCAGGAGACGUUUGUUAUGUUCUACUUUUACACUAUGUUCUUAAGCCUUCCAGGAGCGAAUCCUGAUGAUGGAUUAAACCUUUUACAAAGCAAAUACAUCUGAGACCAAACAAGCUGAGCUAUCGCUCUCUUGCCAAUACUCUCAGAUCUCAUAGGUAAGGUCUAAUUACAGUUUACCUGUCUGGAAGCUGUACAGCAGCAGCAACGCAAUCCAAGACAUAUUUAUUACGAUUAAGACCCAUGGUCUCCAAUAGGGCUUACUCCCUUGUAAGUGACACUACUCCUAUAGUGUUCAACAAAAGGGGGGCUGGAAAGCCAACCCAAUGCAUUAAGAGACCUGGAUAUCCCUAAACAGAAAACAUGCUCUAUAGUGAAAUCUACCAUACCACUGGGGAGGUCGGGAAAGAUGGAGAUAUUUAUACUGUGAUCAUAUUGGAACAUAAGAUUAAGUCCAUCUGGAUAAACCAUGUCAAAGGCGCUGUCAUAUGCCAGAGAUGAAUUUCAAAGCCUGCCACUCUUGGGGCUGUAUGCAGUUUAAGAACUUGGAGGUGGUAUUUAGAACCAGAUGUUUGGGUCGCUUUAAGUCUGACCUUGAAAAAUUCUUUUCUAAAUCCCCUGUUCAAAAAUAUACUUCCCAAGAGUCCCUCAUGUCCCAAACUUUCCCCUUCACCUUGUCCAUUGUCAUUUGAUACCACAAUGGCAGUAUCUUCUUUGACAUACGUUCCUGACCAAGAUCUUGGUGAUGGCAAUAACCACAAUUAGGGUGGAGCUUGUCUUAUGCACACUUGCACUUCUCAUAGUCCCUAUCUCUUGUAACUUAUAGAUGCAAUCAAAUUCCUGGUAACUUUUGCAUAUGGUUUGCAUAAGUGUUACCUGGUAAAGAGUUACAGUGGCACCUUCAAUCAUCUUAUUCAUUCAUGUGGGAGCAAGGAGAAUAAAGACGGGCUGCCAAUAGUAUAUUUCUAAAAAUGUAACCUAGGCAGUGUGACUCAUGAUCCACACCUUGUGUCAUUCAAUAAACAGUGUCUUUUGAAAAUCUUCCCACCAUGAAUGGGCUGUGAGUGCUCAAAGGAACAAGAAGAAUUGUGGUUCUGCCUACAGAGUGAGUGGAAAUAGAUGCAAAAACCCUCCCCUUUCACCUCCUUGCCCUUGCAGAGAAUUGGAUCAAAUAGUCUGAGGAUUGUGAGAUUGCUACACCCCUUCUUCAACGAUUCAAGGGCCUGAUGCAAGGAAAGGUGUGUACUUUGAGAGGGUCUCUCUUGUUUUCUUGCUGCUUACAGCUGCUAUUCACAAGUAGUGUUUCACAGGUUGAUUUGUUGUCCUCAGAUUAAGUUCUUAAAGGAAGCCUACCUACAAAAGGCCUUGAGCAUUCACUGAAGUCAAAUUACAUUCCGCUUUUGUUCCUUGAAACUUCACUCCCUAUUGUGUGGAGGGGUGGAUAGAAAGUGCAAACACACACACACAUACAUACAUGCAUUUUGUAGUUGCAAAGGAGUAAAUCAAAAAUGGAACAAACAACCUGUCUCCUAGCAAAGAGUUCUGCAUAGAUUAGAAGAGAAUAAUAACCUUUUGUUUUAUCGUUUUUUAGAAAGCCAACAAUGCGCUUUUGUUUUGCUUAAGAAAGGAAUAUUUUUAAUAGUGUUGGAGUAGAGAAGUAAUCAUUUAAGUAAAGGGAUGGACUAAGUAGAAACAGAAGAAUAUUUUGGAAUUUAGCCAUCAGACCAAAUACCAUGCCUGGUAAUGACUGGUUGAUGAGGUACAUUUAGGGAAGGGUGGGGGGACCCACAUGAACUACAAGUAAACAGGGCUUCUAGUUGUCAGGACCUGCAAAUUGUGUUUAUGCAAGAAUAAUUGUGCCAAGCCAGCUUGUGAUUGCAGGAGGGGGCACGGCAGUCUACACAAAUCAUGAAAUCUAUGUAGACGUGGGGAGGCAAAAUACAUUGAUCAGUCUUCAGACCCCAGGAGUUUCUGACUCAGGCCUACAAUAUCUGGUUCCUAAUAAACAAAAGGUAUGAUGCUCAAAGGUCCAAAGGAACAGGAGUCAGGAUGGAUAAGCAUAGAAGAAGUCCUGUGGGGAAAGGCCCCUCCAGACUGGUGUUUUUUUCUGGGGGUCAGUUGUGCAGUAAUGCUCAAUAGCAUGUCAUCCAACAUUUCUCUGAUGAAAAUAGGGUUCAAGCAUUGAAUUUUAGGCUAACUGGGUGCCAUCUCUUCAGUGUUUUUUUCCAUUCUGGUUUGUUUGGCAGCAGUUGGAGCAGCUGAUUGGAAAACAAGCUGCUUCUCCUGACUUUGCAGCGUCACUUAGCCCUGGAGCAGCUGUAUAUUUAGAGUGAAACUGAAAGGUGCUGGGCUGGAUCCAUUUGACAAACAACCUGUCUGCCCGCUCAAGGGUGUGGUGGCUAUUUACAGUGUCUGCAUUACAAUUUGCUAAUGCAAGUGGGUCAGGUAACUCAAACCACCCUUGGAGAAGACUAGUAAAAGUCUAGCCCUUAAGUAAACACUUCCCUUCCCUGCAGAGCAAGCAUCCUUUGUCAUGUGGUGUCUCAGUCGCUUCCUGGUAUUGCUGUUCCAGUCAAACACUUCUCUUUAUCUCCCUCCGAUUAUCACACUGGCCACUUCAUCACCAAGGCUGUUGUUGCUGUAAUCUGGAAGGUCAGUAAGUUCUGCUGAACUGGAAACUUACCCUUCUGAAGAAGAAAAAACACUAGUAGUGUUCUUGAAACACUGACCAGUGUCACAUUUUAACUGGGAUUUAGCAAGGCUCGGGAUUUAUUCUCAGUGCCAAAGCCUAGCCCUGGAACAAAUAGAGAACCAAUAAUCCUUCAGCCUGUUCUAACAGCAAACUUAUUCUCUUUCAGCAGCCAAAGCAGCAACACCCGCACAAAAGACGGAGGUGUCAGUAGGCUUGGGGAAACUCCAAGGUUUGCAGAAAUAGAAAAUAGAAAAUCUUAUGGCAAGCCUCAAAAUGACCCAAUGAGUACUGAGCAUGCUCAGGGCUGGCACUGGAAUGCCGAGUGAAUAUUGCAAGAAGAUUGAUGGAAUAAUGGUUAGAGUGUUGGACUAGGCCCUGAGAAACCAGGGUUCAAAUCCCCACUCAGCUAUGAAGCUCACUAGGUAACCUUGGGUCAGUCACCAUUUCUCAGCCUUAUCCUACCCCACAGGGUUGUCCUAAGGAUGAAAUGGCGGGGGGUGGGGGAGAACCAGGGACAGCACUUUGAGCUCUUUGGAAGAAAAGGUGGCAUAUUAAUGUAAUAAAUAAAUAUCCUGAAAUGGGGCAUGGUUUGUUGGCUGGGAACCUGAACAAGAGUACUUCAUACUACAACGUUUUGUGGAAGGUCCCAGUUCCAAAUAGAAUUGACGAACAGAGCUGUGCUCUGGUAUACAAGAACAUUUCACAGCAACAUAGGAAGUUGCCUCAUAUUGAGUCACAUCCUUGGUCCAUCAAGCUCAGUAGUGUUGACAGUGACUACCAGCAGGGUUUCAGGCAGGAGGUAUUCCCAGUUCUACAUGGAGAAGUCAGGGAUUGAUCCAGGGACCUUUUGCACACAGAACAUGCCCACUACCACUGAGCUUCUUCAAGUCUCCCUUCUUUGAAUGGGAAAAUGCUCUACAUGUACAAUGAAGAAACCAAUUGAGGAGACAGUGGCUGUGUACACACCAUGCAUUUAAAGCAUCCCCCCCAAGAAUCCUGGGAAGUGUGGCUUGUUGAAGGUGUACUCGGUGAGGGGUAAACUACAGUUCCCAGCAUUCUUUGUGAAGGAGGGAUGUGCUUUAAGUGUAUGAUUUGUGCACAGCCAGUGAGGCAGCUCUGACAGACACUUUGCAUGGUACAUUUUCCUGGGCUGAAUCUCACAUCUGCAAAAAAAAGAGGAAAACAUUUGAACGGAUCCCAUGUGAAUGUGAGUUGAUGACAGGCAUGGCACAGAAUGUACUCUUUGACCAUGGACAGACAUCAGUUAGCUAGCACUGGCCCUCCAGGAACUGGAAGAUUAGAACUACUAGAUUAGAGAUAACUAGAUUCCUGGAGAACUGCUAUCCUGAGGUGACCAUAAACCAAACCCUCACAGAACAAUGCACAUCGGCUGCAGGCAACAGCUUUUGACUGCCUGGCUUCCUUAGCAGAAAUUCAGAUCACUGAGAUGUCUUAGCUGAAAGAUUCUGCUUGCUUCUACAGUAGUACCUCGGGUUAAGUACUUAAUUUGCUCUGGAGGUCCGUUCUUAACCUGAAACUGUUCUUAACCUGAAGCACCACUUUAGCUAAUGGGACCUCCUGCUGCCGCCGCGCUGCUGGAGCACGAUUUCUGUUCUCGUCCUAAAGCAAAGUUCUUAACCUAAAGCACUAUUUCUGGGUUAGUGGAGUCUGUAACUUGAAGUGUAUGUAACCUGAGGUACCACUGUACUUGGAUAAGUGAUUCCUCCUGAACUCAGUUCUCUGAGGAAGGUUGUAUAGCUGACUCAAAGUGGAUUGGGAGUGUAGAUGCACUGACAUCUCACCACACAAAGCAUGUGCACCUGUAGGCAGACCAAGAGUGAUGUUUCUCUGCCUUGAAAGCAGAUCUUUCAGAAUACAGCAAAACUUUGUCCAGACCACUUCCAAUUCACUUCAGCACAUUGGUAUUCACUCUGCAAAUUCUCUCUUCUUUUCCAUCAGAGAUCUCUCAAGUGCAUAGAGGGGACUAAUCUGUUAUCUUUUGGGAAUGUUUCCAGCUGCUCCGUUCUGCCCACACCGGCUCUGUUUUGUGUUACCUCAGAAACUGAAACUAACGUGACACCAGUAUUGAGAAACCAAAACAGGAAGUUAACACAGAUUGCCAUAUAUGGGCCACACAGGGUGUGGAGUAACAUGUUCAGACUAAAAAUACAGUGAUAUGUAGCUGCCUUCUAUUUUCAGUUUGGCUCAAUUCCUACUUUCUACACUUCGAUGGCAUUAAAUAUAAUCUCUCAUUCUUGGCAUUCAGCAAGGAAGCAUUUUGUUUCCUCUCAUUGAAAACUUGCAUAACUGUGGCUACGAAGUUAGUAAAAUAAUGCAUUUUACUUCAGUUUAGAUUGGCGCAAGCUUUAGACAGGCACAAUGGAAAGGCAACACAAGAAAUAAAAGCCUGUCUCAUUCCUCGUCCCCUUAUUCCUGAAAUUUUGCUAUCUCUGGUUUGAUGCAGGGUUUUGUGAAACCUGAAAGCUUGCAUGCAAGUAAUCCAGGACUGUGGAACCUAUGGGCCUUGCUGAUGGGAGUCCAGCAACAUCUUUCAUGCUUAACAGAAUAUAGUAUAUUGAUACAUUUCUUUUUUUCGAAACCAAAAAACCAAAUCUAGUUAUAAAAACCCUGCCAGGGUUAACUGGGAGUUAACUGGCUAUCUCAUAUUGGCCCAAGCUCCGAAAGUCUGGGGAUUGUAAGCUAAGGCUGGUGCCUUACUAGACAUGCACCAUGCUGAGUAAUGAUGCUGUGCAAUGUCACAGAUUGUGCUUGCUUACAACUUACUCUACAAGCACCCCCACUUUCCCUUGGCCUCUCAGGCCCAAAUCCAGAUGGGGAUGAUGGAGUGCCUGAGACCAGCAAAAAUGCCCCAUGUUGCCCUGGUCCUGCAUUGUCUCACAAACCCUUAAGGAUCAUCUGCUUCUUCUGGAACUGUAGUUUGUUAUGGGAAUGGUCAGUCUGUGAGAAGGGAAACUACAAUUCCCAGGAAUCUUUGCGGGAGGAAACAAUAUGCUUUAAACGUGCACUGAAUGUGCUUUAAAUACAUGGUGUUGAUUGUGGGUCAACAGAACUGGGGGAAACCAGUCCACUGUUGUCCCUGAUUAUACUUUUUCUUCUUCUCAUCAACAGGGAGGCUCCUAUAUUAUUGACUGAGGGGCUACACCCAACUGACAACAAAGACAAAUGCCAUUCAGUCAUCUUGUACUAACAGCCACUGCUGUCUUGUUUUUCCUUUUCUAACUCCAGCAGUUGUGUCAUUAAAAAAAUAAAUAUAAAAUGCUGGCCUCUCAGCUUUCACACAAAGGUUUGCCAUAUUUGCAGAGAGAGUUGCACUAUUAUGACCUUGCUUCACACGCCCACAAAUUUUAUGUUGCCUUAGUGCAUGCCCUAGAAGCUUUGCCCAAUGCCUGUGGUCCUUGCAGAACUACAGUCACUGCCAGGCAGCAGCUGAGCUUCUAGGUGAGGGGCAAUGAUAGAACUUGCUCAUACAAGUGCUGCUGACACUUUCCUCCCAUUUAGUGAGCGGUGUUGCAUUUCAGAAAGGAGAUAGGUGGGGCUGAGCAGGCUCAUUUGUCCAAAAAGCACUUGGCAAAACUGGAGUAGCAUAUCAACAAACUCUGGGUUUUCCUUCUGCCCCUGUCUUGGGAGGUUUUCUGUGUUUGCAGGACCUGGAGUUGCAGGUCUGUGGUCAUUAACUAGAAUUGCAUGAAGAGAAUGGAAGGAGACGGGGAUUAGCAGUUGCCUAUUCUAGUAUUUUUGGAGGUGAGAGGAAGGGUAGCUUUCAAUGCACUGCCUCCUUCUGCUGUUAAUCUUCUCCCCAUCUCUUCUCUCUGAUCCCUCAAGGCUGUUAACCUGGUUGUGAAAGAGAUACGCCACUCAUGCUUAGAGCAACUAUAUUUCUGCAACUGAGCCAUAGGAUUCCAAACAAGUUUUAAGUCCAAUUGAGCCUUGGCAUAAAUUUAACCCUGUUUAGUGAAGUGAAAUCAUUGAUGCUAGAGAAAAGACCUGGUAACUUUAAAAGAAAAAUCAGAUGGGAUUCUAAGCACUAAGUUACAUGGGAUGCUCAGUGUGUCUGUCAAGCUGCAGGAAUCUUUAUAAAAAGCUCUAAAUAGGAGUCAUAUGGGGGAGUAAUUGGGAUGGUGACACACCGAAAAUAGCGAUAAAUCUGCUAUCAGGAUUUACCCAUUUUGGUGUUCAGUGUAGCUAUUUACCACGCAACUAUCCUUUUCUACUCUGUGUUCAAGAUCUCUGAAGCAGGAUACUUCCAUUCAGAGGGUGAUCAUAGAUGGAUUGCACCUCCCUCCCACCUCAAAUCCUGGUAAAAUGCAAGCUCUUUCUUUUGUCCCAUUCCACCUAUUAUAAUGACAAGCAUUGUUAAAAAUUCAUUUUGUUGUUACUGAAGGGCAUAAAGAGCUAGGAUAAUGUGGCAUUUUUUCACACAUUAAAUGAAAAGCAUUUGUGCUGUUGUGAAUGAUGUUAAUAGAAGAUAGAAAGCUGCAUUUAUUUAUUUAUGUUCAGCUGGAUUAAAAUUGUAUGAGAACACGUGUCUUUGGUUUGUAAAUAUAAUUUUAAUUUCUCAGUAGCUAAUACACACACACACACACACACACACACACCCUUUCCUAGGGUGUAACAUAUGAAUUAGAUGGGAUUGUAUCCAAUACAGCAUUUGUGCAAGAAGAAAAGAGACGUUUUAAGUCAAAUGUACAUUCUUAGCCAUUUUAAAACUUGUGCUGCAAACCAAUUCAAGCAAAAAACCAAUAUUGAGCAUUAUGUGUCAAACCGUUCUAAAAGGUCACCAAGGGCGAAAUGAGAAGUGUGUGUGUGUGUAUAAAUAAAACAAACUGAAAGGGAAGGGAGUGAUAUGUUUGGGGAACCCCUGAAGAUGUGCAGAGAUACUACGGUAAUUGGUCUUCUGAGAACGAUCUGUGUGGCUGUUUAAGCUAGGUAGGCUAAGAGAACCAACAGGCAGGAAUCAAUCACAGAAUUGUAAGUCAGAAGGGAUCUCGAGGGUCAUCUAGUCCAACAGGAGGCAUGUGAAAACAUUUGAAAACAGACUCCAUCCAAGCUGCUAAGUGUGGGAAAAAAUGGAAAAUUGUUGACAAAGGGCGUGGGGCAUGCUGGCCAGCUAAGCUGUUUUUCUGAAUUUCAGAGGAAGACAGCAACGCAGAUGUUGAUGUUAACAUCAGGCUCUCCCUUUUGCUUGGGGAAAAAGAGAGAGAGGGAGAGAGAGAGCUGCGGUGGAUGUCCAAGAAAGAUACUGCUAUCAUUAUGCCUUUCCAGUUCUAUUUAAAGUCCGCGUAGGAGCCAAGAGGAGAAGCUCAGCAUAAACACCACCAGAUCAGGGUAGUACCAGGUGUCAGCUAGCCCUGCAAAGUCACUGAAAUGUCAAGGAUUGUUUUUCCUCUCCUCCCUUGCUUUCGUCUGACUGGGAACUGCCAGUGUUUAUUUAAAAGAUAUCCUUCGCAUUUGGCAAGGAUGCCAGUGGGGCAGACGUUAAUGGAUUAUUAUUUGGAGCUGGCAGGCUGCCAAGGAGACAAGGAUAGCUUGGGCUUGCUACCCAAAGCCCCUGCCAUUAAGCAUGAGAAAAAGAGUCCAAGUAUUGGAACUGCCGGGCCUUGUGGUUUUCAGAGUUAGGUUGAACACGGCUUUCCAAUAAAUGCUCUUUGCUCUUAUAUUAGAUCUGACCUACUAAAAUUCCGUAGGGGAGAAUGGAAAGAGGUUGGGGGCAUUCAGCUACAGCUUCAAGGUCCCAAAGCAAUAAUGCCCUAGUUUGGCUGGUUAGUCCGUUGGGUUUUCGUCAGCUGCAGCGUCAUGCCGGUGAACGGUGCAAGGAAUGUCUUUUUCCACAGACAGAGAGGACCCGAUCAGAUAGCAGCUAAAUGAAGUGGAGGUUUCCAUGCUCGUUUCCGAUGGGUCUUUGAUGCAACAAGUCUGUAAUGCUGAAACCAUCUGCUCUGGCUUGUGGAACUUGUCAUUCACAUGGCAUGUCAUUCACAUGGACAUUUUGCAUCAGGCAAAGCUAGCAGUUUCACUCGUCUUGUGAAAGCCUUGACAUACAGAGCCACAGGCCAGGAAAAAUCCUUAGGAAAUGAGUUUCCAUGGGCAAUUGUUGAAAUGUUUUUGAGAUGCUUUCUGGGCACAUCUUAAGCCAUCUGCCAGAACAGGACGACAUGUGCAAACCACACAAAGUCAGCUGCUGUUUUGACCUCAGCAGUUAAAUAUCUGUACUUGAAUUCAGCCUGGGACUACUGGAUCCGGCCACUUGACUCAAUGGCACAGGCGGAUAAUCAAAACAUUGGGAAAACUAGAAAUUGAGGCAUAUAUAUAUCAUACGUUUACAUGAAACUACAAACAGUUCUGUUAAUUGUAUGAGUUAAACCAUCACAAGGCUGCCUCUGCCAACCUGGUGCUAUCCACAUAUUUUUGAACUACCACUCCCUGUGGUUGAUGGAAGUUGUACUCCAAAAUAUCUGCUGUACUCAAAGACCAUAAUUCCAAGCCAUAAUGACCUGGAGGAGAAAGAACAAGUUUCUGUUCUGGCAGAAUCCGUCAGUCACUGGGGUCCUCCAAACAGGUUUGGGUUAUGUAAUACCCUAUGUCCCAUGAUCGCUGCUAUUUCGACAAUGCCUGGUUAGGAAGUGCAGGUCCGUGGCACUCCAUUCUUCACAGGAACCGUCACAGACAAGUAGCAAUGGCCUCAGGGCUUCUUGUUGAGAGGCAGGUGGAUCAUUCAGCUUCCCAGCAUGUUUAGGAUUUGCUGGAGCUUCCCUGCCUAAGCUGGUGCAAGGUGAGGAGUUGUCAUCAGCUCACAGUGGUCAUAGAUUGCCCUGUAUAUGAUUUGGUAUAAGUCGUUUGGAAACUAAGUUAUUCCAUAAAAAUCAUUCCAGGAAUAGCCUGUGAUUUUGUAGGCCAAAUAGACACACUGGGGCAUAUUUUGAUUACCAAACAACAACAACAACAAC